AAUGACUCUCGGCAACGGAUAUCUCGGCUCUUACAUCGAUGAAGAACGUAGCAAAAUGCGAUACUUGGUGUGAAUUGCAGAAUCCCGUGAACCAUCGAGUCUUUGAACGCAAGUUGCGCCCGAAUCCAUCUGGUUGAGGGCACGUCUGCCUGGGUGUCACGUA
rnacentral:rRNA from 1 species